GCGUGCUUAACACAUGCAAGUCGAACGAUGAAGCCCAGCUUGCUGGGUGGAUUAGUGGCGAACGGGUGAGUAACACGUGAGUAACCUGCCCUUAACUCUGGGAUAAGCCUGGGAAACUGGGUCUAAUACCGGAUAGGAGCGCCCACCGCAUGGUGGGUGUUGGAAAGAUUUAUCGGUUUUGGAUGGACUCGCGGCCUAUCAGCUUGUUGGUGAGGUAAUGGCUCACCAAGGCGACGACGGGUAGCCGGCCUGAGAGGGUGACCGGCCACACUGGGACUGAGACACGGCCCAGACUCCUACGGGAGGCAGCAGUGGGGAAUAUUGCACAAUGGGCGCAAGCCUGAUGCAGCGACGCCGCGUGAGGGAUGACGGCCUUCGGGUUGUAAACCUCUUUCAGUAGGGAAGAAGCGAAAGUGACGGUACCUGCAGAAGAAGCACCGGCUAACUAC
rnacentral:rRNA from 1 species